GGGGAAUAUUGGACAAUGGGGGAAACCCUGAUCCAGCGACGCCGCGUGAGUGAAGAAGUAUUUCGGUAUGUAAAGCUCUAUCAGCAGGGAAGAUAAUGACAGUACCUGACUAAGAAGCCCCGGCUAACUACGUGCCAGCAGCCGCGGUAAUACGUAGGGGGCAAGCGUUAUCCGGAUUUACUGGGUGUAAAGGGAGCGUAGGUGGCAUGGCAAGUCAGAAGUGAAAGCCCAGGGCUCAACCCUGGGACUGCUUUUGAAACUGUCAAGCUAGAGUGCAGGAGAGGUAAGUGGAAUUCCUAGUGUAGCGGUGAAAUGCGUAGAUAUUAGGAGGAACACCAGUGGCGAAGGCGGCUUACUGGACUGUAACUGACACUGAGGCUCGAAAGCGUGGGGAGCAAAC
rnacentral:rRNA from 1 species